UACGUAGGGUGCAAGCGUUGUCCGGAAUUAUUGGGCGUAAAGAGCUCGUAGGCGGUCUGUCGCGUCUGCUGUGAAAAUCCGGGGCUCAACUCCGGACUUGCAGUGGGUACGGGCAGACUAGAGUGUGGUAGGGGAGACUGGAAUUCCUGGUGUAGCGGUGGAAUGCGCAGAUAUCAGGAGGAACACCGAUGGCGAAGGCAGGUCUCUGGGCCACUACUGACGCUGAGAAGCGAAAGCAUGGGGAGCGAACAGG
rnacentral:rRNA from 1 species